UGUAUGUUAGAUUUGGAAUGGAGGAGAGAAACAAAAUUCCUCCAUUUCCUUGUCGUUUUGGUUUCUUCGACUUCUCUCGAUGGGUUGUGGCAUUUCUAGGUUUGACCCUAAGGAGGUAGUCGAAGCAACGGCCAACGAUUCCAAUCACAAUGAUACUCCAAAUCAUUCCAAUCACAAGUCCUAUUCAACCUCCAAUUGCUUCACCGGUGAAUCCAAGCAUAUGAGUCACCAAGGACGUCCCCCUCCACCUGAGCCUCGUCAUUCUUCUUCUGAUCGAGCUGCACCCGGAGAUCAAAAGAUGAUGAAGAUGAAGACAAAUGUCAAGCAAGAAGAAUCAAGAGGGAUUAAUACUAAUGGCCUAAAAAUAAGGAUGAGGAUGAGGACAAGGACUAGAACUUCAACGCAAAUUGAUAAUGAUGAUGAUGAUUCUAGCGAUGAGGAUUCUGAUAAAAAUGAUCAAAAUUGCCGUGAGAUUUGUCGAGGAGGAUCCCCAAGUUUCAGGGAAUAUUGCGUUGACUCUGAAUCGAGAUCAAGAAGCAUGGGAAGUGAAGGUAGAGAUCAAACUUCGGAAAAUUAUUAUCGGAGAUAACAAAAAAUGACUGUGAAGGAGAUCAGUGCAAGUGGGCACCAAAAGAGAAGGGAGUGGAUAAUGAAAUAGGGAAGAAAGAAAGAAGAGGAAAAGGUUUAAGGAACGCAUUACAACGUGGAAUGACAAGUGGUGGAGUCAAGAAUUUGUUAACUUCCUCUUCACGUCCUCAACAACACCACACCAAUUUUUCUUCCCAUUAACCUUUUGCAAAACCCUCUUCAUUUCAUUUCAAUUUCCUACUCAUCAAUUCUUUUAUUUGUUAUUUAUUUAUUCUUUCAAAUCUAAACAUUUGUGUAAAACAAUUUCACUUU